AGAGAGAGAGAGAUGAUACUGGUAGCAAUAGUGGCAGAGCUAAUGGAGGAAUACACGGUGCUGCUGGCGAGGGUGCUUGAGCAUUUGUUUCACGACGCUCCUUUUCCAAGACGUGUUCGUUUUCUCAUUCUUCGCAAUCUUCCAUUUGUCUCCUCCUCCUCCUCCGCCUCCGCUUUCAGCAGGAGACCUCCCUUGCUUCCAGCCCCCGCUUAAGCUUUGUCUCAUUCACCGUCUUUUCUUUUUUCUUUUUUUUUUGUAAAAUUUAAAUAUGUUGCUUGGCGGCUGAAUUUGUCAAUCAAUCUUUCCUUUUUCUUUUGUAUGUUAUAAUGUAUAUUCUUAAUUCUUGGAGUUGGGAGUUGUGUACGUGUUUCUUUCUGGU
rnacentral:lncRNA from 1 species